GAUGAACGCUGGCGGCGUGCCUAAUACAUGCAAGUCGAGCGAACGGACGAGAAGCUUGCUUCUCUGAUGUUAGCGGCGGACGGGUGAGUAACACGUGGAUAACCUACCUAUAGACUGGGAUAACUUCGGGAAACCGGAGCUAAUACCGGAUGAUAUUUUGAACCGCAUGGUUCAAAAGUGAAAGACAGUCUUGCUGUCACUUAUAGAUGGAUCCGCGCUGCAUUAGCUAGUUGGUAAGGUAACGGCUUACCAAGGCAACGAUGCAUAGCCGACCUGAGAGGGUGAUCGGCCACACUGGAACUGAGACACGGUGCAGACUCCUACGGGAGGCAGCAGUAGGGAAUCUUCCGCAAUGGGCGAAAGCCUGACGGAGCAACGCCGCGUGAGUGAUGAAGGUCUUCGGAUCGUAAAACUCUGUUAUUAGGGAAGAACAUAUGUGUAAGUAACUGUGCACAUCUUGACGGUACCUAAUCAGAAAGCCACGGCUAACUACGUG
rnacentral:rRNA from 1 species